UUCUUGGGAAAAGUGACUAAGUUGCUAAGAGCGUAUUUAUAGCUGAGCUCUGACGUAAGUGUCAGUGGGGAGGUAGGGCCAGGCCAGGCACAGCAGCAAGGGGGUGGGAAGAGCUGGAAAUUGGGGGCAUCUGACAGUGAAGGUGGGGAGAGGUGGGGUCAGUGACUCCUGCAGCCACUUCUUGUCACUUCCCCUGACUGCCCACUGAUACCAACAGACUCCACUUCAGCCUACAGCUCCCUGCUCACUUUUCACCUGUCCACUCCUCGGUCCCACCACCUGUACCAUGCCCGCCUGUGGCUGCACGUGCUCCCCACCCUUCCUGGCACUCUUUGCUUGAGGAUCUUCCGAUGGGGACCAAGGAGGAGGCGCCAAGGGUCCCGCACUCUCCUGGCUGAGCACCACAUCACCAACCUGGGCUGGCAUGCCUUAACUCUGCCCUCUAGUGGCUUGAGGGGUGAGAAGUCUGGUGUCCUGAAACUGCAACUAGACUGCAGACCCCUAGAAGGCAACAGCACAAUUACUGGACAACCAAGGCGGCUCCUGGACACAGCAGGACACCAGCAUCCCUUCCUAGAGCUUAAGAUCCGAGCCAAUGAGCCUGGAGCAGGCCGGGCCAGGAGGAGGACCCCCACCUGUGAGCCUGCGACCCCCUUAUGUUGCAGGCGAGAUCAUUACGUAGACUUCCAGGAACUGGGAUGGCGGGACUGGAUACUGCAGCCCGAGGGGUACCAGCUGAAUUACUGCAGUGGGCAGUGCCCUCCCCACCUGGCUGGCAGCCCAGGCAUUGCUGCCUCUUUCCAUUCUGCCGUCUUCAGCCUCCUCAAAGCCAACAAUCCUUGGCCUGCCAGUACCUCCUGUUGUGUCCCUACUGCCCGAAGGCCCCUCUCUCUCCUCUACCUGGAUCAUAAUGGCAAUGUGGUCAAGACGGAUGUGCCAGAUAUGGUGGUGGAGGCCUGUGGCUGCAGCUAGCAAGAGGACCUGGGGCUUUGGAGUGAAGAGACCAAGAUGAAGUUUCCCAGGCACAGGGCAUCUGUGACUGGAGGCAUCAGAUUCCUGAUCCACAGCCCAACCCAACAACCACCUGGCAAUAUGACUCACUUGACCCCUAUGGUACCCAAAUGGGCACUUUCUUGUCUGAGACUCUGGCUUAUUCCAGUUCCCCAGCUCUUCUGCUUCGACUCCGAGCGGGUGUCAUGUGUGAGAACGGCCAGCAGAGGGAGCAGAA
rnacentral:sRNA from 1 species